CAAGGAUGACAAAACAAGGACGAGCAGAAAAUGUUCCAAAACCUAGACCGCAAUCAGUAGCCAGUUUCUGACAUGCUUUGUCUUUUCAUGUUAAUUGACUUUCUAGAUAAUUGGCCCUACUGUGUGCGAGGCAUAUAGAUUGUGAGUCCCAUCCACCUCCAACUGCUAAUGGAGGUUUAAUUGUGCAUAUAAAUUCAUUUCUAAGAAGGGACCGAAGACGGUGUAUCUUCUCCUGAUGGAUUGAUUCUACAGCAUCCUGCAUAAUACUUCUCCAAAAAAAUCGCACAUGUGUGUGGGAAGAUGGAACCCAAACUGCUUUUGGACAAAACAAAUUAAAGCUUUGCAUCUGCCGCAAGCAUAUGAGCCGCCUUUCAUUUCAUCCUUCUUUCCCACUACCUCAGAUAUCUGUUUUGAGCAUCCCAUCCUCACCCACCAGAAUGUGAAGAUCCAGGAAGUCCAGCUCUCUUGCAGCCUGAAAGG